GGGGGUGUAGCUCAGUUGGCUAGAGCACCUGCUUUGCAAGCAGGGGGUCGUGGGUUCGAUUCCCAUCACCUCCACCA
rnacentral:tRNA from 1 species